GACAGAGGGUGCAAACGUUGUUCGGAAUUACUGGGCGUAAAGCGCGCGUAGGCGGUUUUGCAAGUCGGGUGUGAAAUCCCCAGGCUUAACCUGGGAACUGCAUUCGAGACUGCAUUGCUAGAGUAUGGGAGAGGGAAGUGGAAUUUCCGGUGUAGCGGUGAAAUGCGUAGAUAUCGGAAGGAACAUCAGUGGCGAAAGCGACUUCCUGGACCAAUACUGACGCUCAUGUGCGAAAGCGUGGGGAGCAAACAGG
rnacentral:rRNA from 1 species